CCAGAAAGGGACGGCUAANUACGUGCCAGCAGCCGCGGUAAUACGUAGGUCCCGAGCGUUGUCCGGAUUUAUUGGGCGUAAAGCGAGCGCAGGCGGUUAGAUAAGUNUGAAGUUAAAGGCUGUGGCUUAACCAUAGUACGCUUUGGAAACUGUUUAACUNGAGUGCAGAAGGGGAGAGUGGAAUUCCAUGUGUAGCGGUGAAAUGCGUAGAUAUAUGGAGGAACACCGGUGGCGAAAGCGGCUCUCUGGUCUGUAACUGACGCUGAGGCUCGAAAGCGUGGGGAGCGAACAGGAUUAGAUACCCUGGUAGUCCACGCCGUAAACGAUGAGUGCUAGGUGUUAGGCCCUUUCCGGGGCUUAGUGCCGCAGCUAACGCAUUAAGCACUCCGCCUGGGGAGUACGACCGCAAGGUUGAAACUCAAAGGAAUUGACGGGGGCCCGCACAAGCGGUGGAGCAUGUGGUUUAAUUCGAAGCAACGCGAAGAACCUUACCAGGUCUUGACAUCCCGAUGCCCGCUCUAGAGAUAGAGUUUUACUUCGGUACAUCGGUGACAGGUGGUGCAUGGUUGUCGUCAGCUCGUGUCGUGAGAUGUUGGGUUAAGUCCCGCAACGAGCGCAACCCUUAUUGUUAGUUGCCAUCAUUCAGUUGGGCACUCUAGCGAGACUGCCGGUAAUAAACCGGAGGAAGGUGGGGAUGACGUCAAAUCAUCAUGCCCCUUAUGACCUGGGCUACACACGUGCUACAAUGGCUGGUACAACGAGUCGCAAGUCGGUGACGGCAAGCUAAUCUCUUAAAGCCAGUCUCAGUUCGGAUUGUAGGCUGCAACUCGCCUACAUGAAGUCGGAAUUGCUAGUAAUCGCGGAUCAGCACGCCGCGGUGAAUACGUUCCCGGGCCUUGUACACACCGCCCGUCACACCACGAGAGUUUGUAACACCCGAAGUCGGUGAGGUAACCUUUUAGGAGCCAG
rnacentral:rRNA from 1 species